rnacentral:pre_miRNA from 1 species
ACAACAUUAGGACCAUCGGUCUAUCGCGCCAAUAUCCCCAGCUCAGUGGAAGAUCUUCCCUUUGUCGU